UCUCACAACUCACAUCUCACCCGUCUCUCUCUCUCUCUGGCGAUUCCAGAUCCAGAUCUGGAUCUAGGGUUUCUCUGCUAUCUCUCUCGCGAUCCAAGCUAUUCUUUUUGGUUGUUAUUUGAUGAAUUUACGAUGAAGGUGUGUUUAGGAGAGCAAAUUCUUGAAGUUUUUAGGGCAAUGGCGAUUUAAGCCGAUUGGAUCAUGUGGUACCGAUGCUGAUAUGCAUUGUACCGUCUCUCAUUCAAUCUGCAAACUCGAGGUCAACUGGGCUGGGAAUUUGGUUGGAUCAAGUACCGGAGCAGAAGUAAUCAGUGGCGUGUCCUCUUCGAGACCAGUUAAAUUGGCAGAUCUUCAAAGAAUUCUAAGCAAUAUUGGACCCUCAGGGGAGGCAGCAGAUCCCGAUGGAGGUUUAGGAUUGGGUGAUAUCCUGAAGCCUGAACUUCUAUUGCCAUUGAUGGAGACAUUGUCACUCGAGAAUGUAGCAUCUCAUUUACCUGAUGUAACACAAUCUUGACCCGUUUACAUAUAACUGGGCCGUGUUACAUCUCAAAUGGGUCAAGUAAAAAUUUUCUUUUAGAAAGAACAGGAAUGAGUCAAAUGGGUUGGAACUCGGCUCAGUAAAAUAUUCUUUUUCAACCAUAAUUAAUGCAUCAACUAUUUAUAGAAAAUGAAAAGAAGUGUUUGCGGGUCAACCUGACCCGUCCAUUCUAACAUGUAAUAAAACUUGUCAGGUUACUGUAUGGUGAAUGGACACGAGUGUCCAAUUAAUGGAGUUGCUGCAAAGUCCUCCUUUUCGUAAACAAGUUGACUCUUUUACCUAUGUCUGAAGACUGGUCAAAUAGAUCUGACUCAAUUUGGAGUUGACCCAAGUAAAUACAAAUUCAUGGGCCUAUAUUUUAUUGAGGCUCUUAAAGAUUCUGUUGCAAAAAAAUCGGAUACUGAUGAUCCAAUGCAAGAUGUUGGUGAUUCAAGAUCUCAGACUUGUAAUCAAACUGAUGAAAUGGAUGAAGCUAAAGAUGGGAUGGUGGAUGGCAACGUGCUGCGAUGGCUGCAAUGGUUUUGAUGGAACAAAUCGAUAGAGAUGAAGACGGUGAGGUUGUGGUAGCAGGCGAAGACCAUGGUGGUGUUUUUCCAUACUAUACAGAAAACCCUAGCUGCCGCCUCCGGCGAUGGCGGCUAGGGUUACUCCGAUGAAUCUCCGAAAUUUUAGAGUGAGACGGACAGGUUUCGAUUGGUGAUCUCCGGUUGGGUAUUCUUCAAGACAGAGCGUUUGUCUCAACUGCACGAGCACGACGCUUAUUGGUGAGACAUAUGAGAGCUCUAACUACUACACGAUGCUCCAGCAGGCGGAACAUUUAGCGGCUGAGGUGGCUCUGGAUGCACUUGCGAAUCGUGGUCCGUUGAAUACAUUGGCUACUCGGAUAUUGUUCAUGUAGCAUUUCAACUAAAUCACAACGAGCAUUUCCAGUUAUUCAUCGUAAUAACCUUCCAGUUGCUGGUGGUGUUAGCAGUCACAAAUGCUAUUGCAGUGUAUCAGCCCCUGAACCUACUGUUUCAGAGAGUUCCUCCACCUCUAUAAAGUAAUUAUUUUGUAAUCUUACAGGAAGAGAAUUGUGUCGGGUGUCCAACCAACAGGAUCUAUACACCUUGGGAAUUAUCUUGGAGCGAUAAAAAAAUGGGUAUCAUAGCGGGUUAAAUAUGAAACGUUAUUCUUUAUAGUGGAUCUCCAUGCGGUAUGUGCACUAAAAUAAGCACACUGUUUUAUAUAGUUUAUUCACUGUUAUAGUUUUGUUUUUUCUUUUGUUUCAUGUAAAUCAAAAGUUAUUUUAAGUUUGCAGAUAGCUCUACCGUAUGACGUCCAACAACUGUCUAAAGCAACUAGAGAUAUUGCAGUUCUUUAUUUGGCAUGUGGUGUGGACACCUCAAAGGUCUUUUUGUGCCUCUUUUACUGAUAUUCUAAUAUAAAGUAUUGUUUUACCAUCAUCUUUUUAUUGUACAUAUGUAAAUAGAAUUCCAAUUCGUUAGACAGGCUUCUGUAUUUGUGCAAUCUCAUGUUCAUGCCCAUGUAGAAUUAAUGUGGCUGUUGAGUUAUGCUACACCAAUCGGCUGGCUAAACGGAAUGAUUCCGUUCAAAGAGAAAUCACGAAAGGCGGUGCGACUUUAUUGUAUGCAGCUCAUUCUCUACAAUUCAUUUUUUAGUCAUUUUCCACUUGAUCUUGGUACAAUAGGGGUGGCACUUCUUGACAUGACCCGAAGCCACCGACAUGAAAUAAAUAUAGGUUUUGGGUCGACUAACACGAUCCGUAUAAAAAACGGGUCCGGUUAGGGUUGAGCCGUGAAGCUCCGAAAUUUUAGAGUGAGACGGAUAGGUUUCGAUUGGUGAUCUUCGGUUGGAUAUUCUUCAAGACGGCGUUUGUCUCUACUGCACGACGCUAAAUGGCGAGACAUAUGAGAGCCCUAACUACUACAUGAUGCUCUAGCAGGCGGAACAUUUAGCGGCUGAGGUGGCUCUGGAUGCACUCGCAAAUCGUGGUCCGUCGAAUACAUUGGCUACUCGGAUAUUGGUGAGCUUUUCAUGGUUUCUAGGGGUUGUAUGUCUAAAUAUGUGGAAGCUGGUGUUUUAACUUUUGGUUUGGUCAAGUAUUUGGGUAGUAUGUGUUGCUAAAUUUAGUGAUUUUUUAAUGUAAUUAGUGAAUGCUUAGUGUUUUCUUGGUUUGUAAGUUUAAUAUCUAGAAAGUCGUGUUUUAGUUUU